rnacentral:rRNA from 1 species
AUUGAACGCUGGCGGCAUGCCUUACACAUGCAAGUCGAACGGUAACAGGUUAAGCUGACGAGUGGCGAACGGGUGAGUAAUGUAUCGGAACGUGCCCAGUCGUGGGGGAUAACUACUCGAAAGAGUGGCUAAUACCGCAUACGACCUGAGGGUGAAAGCGGGGGACCGUAAGGCAUCGCGCGAUUGGAGCGGCCGAUAUCAGAUUAGCUAGUUUGUGGGGUAAAAGCCCACCAAGGCGACGAGCUGUAGCUGGUCUGAGAGGACGACCAGCCAAACGGGGACUGAAACACGGCCCAGACUACUACGGGAGGAGGCAGGGGGGAAUUUUGGACAAUGGACGCAAGUCUGAUCCAGCCAGGCCGCGUGCGGGAAGAAGGCCUUCGGGUUGUAAACCGCUUUUGUCAGGGAAGAAACGAGUUUCUCUAAUACAGAGACUUAAUGACGGUACCUGAAGAAUAAGCACCGGCUAACUACGUGCCAGCCGCCGCGGUAAUAC